rnacentral:lncRNA from 1 species
UACAAAUAUAGUUUACCCAAUAUACAUCUUAUGAAUAUGAAUAAAACACAAAAAGUUGAAAACUAUAUGAAGGGAAUAAAUGAUAAGAAGUUGUUCGAGUUACAUAAAAGGAGAGCAGCAUCUCAAGAUAUAGGUCGUAAAAGAUCCUAUAUGGUUAAAACAAAAGUGAGAAAUUAUUAUCAAUUUGAUGAUAAUGAUGAUAAUGAUAAUAAUAAUAAUAUAAUUAACAGUAGUAACACUAAGGAUAGUUUAAAUGUUAACACAAAUACUAAGAAAUAUUAUAAACAAAAUUAUACCGAUCAUGAAAGAGAUACAACAUAUAGAACAGCUAAAAAAAAAACAUAUAAAAGAAAAAUCUUAUGAUAAAAAAGAUUUUUUAAAUUUUUUAACAGUUUUUAAUAAAAAGUUUGCAAACAAAAAUCCAUUUGAUAAUAAUCAUGUUACAAAAAUUAACAAACCGCAGGUUCUUAUUAAAGAACAAACUUAUACUGACAAUGAAAAUGGAUUUACUAAUUCGAAUAAACAAAAUAAAAACCACAUAUGUGAUGUGGAAAAUGUCGAAAAGGGUGACAUAUUCAAGGGAAGAAAUGAAACUGGAAAAAAUGGGACCCAACAUUUGACCCAUAAUGGGACCCAACAUUUGACCCAUAAUGGGACCCAACAUUUGACCAAUAAUGGGACCCAACAUUUGACCAAUAAUGUGACCCAUAAUGUGACCCAUAAUGUCGAUCCAAAUGACAAUAAAACAAAUUUGAAAAAUGCAGAAAACGGUAUAACUGACACAACCAAUAACGUAUACAAACAAACUAACAAUGUAAUUAAAAAUAAGACAGAAGUUGUAGAAGGCACAGGUAAUCAAGGUUUGAUAAAAAAUAAUAAUACUGGUACAGGGACUGCUACAUCUGGUACUAUAACGAAAAUGAUAAAUACACGAAACUUAUCUGUUAUUCAAACAUCACAUAUCCCAUAUGAUGCUCCUUUAGCAGAUUUUUUAGAAAAUGGUAGAUUUAUGCGUACAUUUGAAAAUACUACAUUGAUAGGUCAAGGAGGUUUUGGCUCUGUUUAUAAAGUCUCUCAUCGACUUGAACCUGGUUCUCCAACUUAUGCUGUUAAAUUUAUUUAUUUAAAAGUAAGUUCUUUGGAUAAUGUAAGUUCGAGAAGGUAUUUUCGUGAAAUCGCAGCCAAUAGAGACAUAUAUAGUAAACAUGUCGUUCGAUAUUAUACUUGGUGGUGUGAAGAACCACAGUUUUUACCUUACCACAUUAUGCCUAAAGAGAUUCAGAACAUAAUUAAAAAAAACAAAGGUCAAGCUGAUAAAAUUCAUAAUAAAAAUAAAAAAAUAAAAAAACAGAAUGUUAAUAAUGACAAUAGUUAUGACGAUAAUGGUAGUUUCAGUGAUGGAUUUAAUAGUGAUAUUAGUAGCUAUGUUAGUAGCGACAGUGAUACAUCUUCAUCAUGGGAGAGAGAAAAAAUAAAUGUAAAAAAGAAACUUAAUAAAAAAGAAAUAAAAAAAAAUAAAAAUACAAAUGUUUUAAAAUUUUACAGUGAUGAUAACUAUGAUUUAAAUUUAAAAAAAAGGUUUAGUAACAAAUAUGUUGGUACAAACAAAACCAAUUCGGGUAGUAUUGAUGGUGCCAGCACAAGUGGUACAAACAAAUUUAAAAAUGAAAGAAAUUGUUUUAGUGAUAGAUACUUUUCAGAUGAUAAAUAUAUAAGUGAAAAUUCGGAAGAUAGAAAGAAGAAGAAAAAGAAGAAAAAAAAAAAAAAAAAAAAAAAAAAAAAAAAAAAAAAAAAAAAAAAACGUACAUGUAUAUAUAUAUAUAUAUAUAUAUCAAUUGUACAUGGUAUUGUGCAAAACUUUUUUAUAUAUUCAUUUAUUUAUAUAUGCAAUUAUUUUUUUUUUACAAAAACGCUUAUCAUCGCACUUUUACUUAAAAAUAUAAAAUACUUCUGUGAGUGAAGCCAUUUUUAUGGUUGUAUACACAUACUAAACAUACAUACACAUAUAUGCAACAUAAAUAGAAACAAUAUACAACAAUGUGUAACGACAUUUAUAAAAAGUAUGCAAAAUAUAUUAUUACCUUUAAAAUUGUAGCAAGAUUCAUGUGGCAUGUAUAAAAGGAUGAGUAUAAAGCUAUUAUUAAGGCACACAAAGGUUCAUUUCUGAAUGUUAAUGCUGAAAAAAAAAAAAAGAAAAUUACAAAACCGUAUAUUAAAUGAUACAUUAAAUGGUUGAUUAAAUAACUAAUUGAAUGAUGCAUUAAAAUAUUUUUGUUUCAUAAAAAAAAAAACAAAAACUAAAGUGAAUAUUGUUCCAUUUUUAUUAAAUUCCUUACUUGAAGUGUAGAAAUAAUAUUGUACAAGAUUGAACACAACAAAAACUAAUAAUUGUACUGUAAAAACAAAAAAAAAAAAAAAAUAAUAAAAAUGCAUAUAUAUUAUUGAUAUUAAUAGUU